GCCAGUGUGGUAUAGUGGUUUGUAUGCUGGACUUUGAUUCUGGAGACCUGGCUUCAAGUCUCUGCUUGACC